CCCCUCCGCUCUCUCUCUCUCACACACAGCAAACCCCUCUCUCUCUCGCACAGCUAACCCUAGCGACCCACCUCUCCCCUCCCCUCGCGCAGCCGCCACCACGCCUUCUUCCUAUCCCGAUUCCCACCCACGUCGCCGCCGCUGCCGCCAGCCUACGCCCUCCCCCCACACCGCCGCCGUGAAACCCCCUCCUCACCUUCUCUCCCCGGUCGAGCAGCAGCAGGUCAGGCGGAGGCGGUAGCCAGAUCUGCCGCGUUGCUUCCGGAUCCGCGCCCUCCCCACCCCCGAUUCAUCUCCAAUCCUGUCGU
rnacentral:rRNA from 1 species